GCCAACGAAUUGAGCUCAAGCAGGGC
rnacentral:piRNA from 1 species